UACGUAGGGUGCAAGCGUUGUCCGGAAUUAUUGGGCGUAAAGAGCUCGUAGGCGGUCUGUCGCGUCGGCUGUGAAAACUCGGGGCUCAACUCCGAGCUUGCAGUCGAUACGGGCAGGCUAGAGUUCGGCAGGGGGAGACUGGAAUUCCUGGUGUAGCGGGUGAAAUGCGCAGAUAUCAGGAGGAACACCGGUGGCGAAGGCGGGUCUCUGGGCCGAUACUGACGCUGAGGAGCGAAAGCGUGGGGAGCGAACAGG
rnacentral:rRNA from 1 species